rnacentral:rRNA from 1 species
UACGUAGGGGGCAAGCGUUGUCCGGAAUCAUUGGGCGUAAAGAGCGCGUAGGCGGCCCAGUAAGUCCGCUCUGAAAGUCAGGGGCUCAACCCCUGGAUGCGGGUGGAUACUGCUGGGCUAGAGUCCGGAAGAGGUGAGUGGAAUUCCUGGUGUAGCGGUGAAAUGCGCAGAUAUCAGGAGGAACACCAAUUGCGAAGGCAGCUCGCUGGGACGUGACUGACGCUGAGGCGCGAAAGCGUGGGGAGCAAACAGG